CUUUUUCCACCGGAGCUUGCUCCACCGGAAAAAGAAGAGUGGCGAACGGGUGAGUAACACGUGGGUAACCUGCCCAUCAGAAGGGGAUAACACUUGGAAACAGGUGCUAAUACCGUAUAACAAUCGAAACCGCAUGGUUUUGAUUUGAAAGGCGCUUUCGGGUGUCGCUGAUGGAUGGACCCGCGGUGCAUUAGCUAGUUGGUGAGGUAACGGCUCACCAAGGCCACGAUGCAUAGCCGACCUGAGAGGGUGAUCGGCCACAUUGGGACUGAGACACGGCCCAAACUCCUACGGGAGGCAGCAGUAGGGAAUCUUCGGCAAUGGACGAAAGUCUGACCGAGCAACGCCGCGUGAGUGAAGAAGGUUUUCGGAUCGUAAAACUCUGUUGUUAGAGAAGAACAAGGAUGAGAGUAACUGUUCAUCCCUUGACGGUAUCUAACCAGAAAGCCACGGCUAACUACGUGCCAGCAGCCGCGGUAAUACGUAGGUGGCAAGCGUUGUCCGGAUUUAUUGGGCGUAAAGCGAGCGCAGGCGGUUUCUUAAGUCUGAUGUGAAAGCCCCCGGCUCAACCGGGGAGGGUCAUUGGAAACUGGGAGACUUGAGUGCAGAAGAGGAGAGUGGAAUUCCAUGUGUAGCGGUGAAAUGCGUAGAUAUAUGGAGGG
rnacentral:rRNA from 1 species